ACCAUCUUGGCUCACUGCAACCUCCCUCUCCCGGGUUCACAAGAUUCUCCUGCCUCAGCCUCCUGAGUAGCUGGGAUUACAGGCACCCACCAAGAUGCCCGGCUAAUUUUUAGUAGAGACAGGGUUUCACCGUGUUGACCAGGCUGGUCUCAAACUCCUGACCUCAUGUGAUCUGCCCGCCUCGGCCUCCCAAAGUGCUGGGAUUACAGGUGUGAGCCACUGCGCCCGGCCAAGAUGUGGUGUUUCUAAUGGCAGGCACUUGAACCCAAUUGAACCCUGAGAGCCCCUCUGAGAGGGCUGUGUGUGUUGGGAAUGAGAGAGUUACGAGCUUUCUAGAAGUUGUUAUGAGUGGACCUGACUACCUAGAGAGAGUAAUACAGAAGCUCCAUGCCGAUCACAGCUACCUCAUUACCAAGUUCCUCCAAGAUGGCCGCCCCUGAGGAGAAUCAUCAACUGGGCUUUACGGAAGAGAGAAAUCCAAACGACCAUCAGCAACAAAUGAAAGACUGAAGUUGAAAGGAAAUCCAUAAUUUUUGAAUGCUGGCCGAGGUCUGUGACCUCUGACUGAAUGGUUUCCAAGCUCUGAAUUCCUAGGUAUAACACUUGCUGAAGAAAGGAAAAGCUCUCUGAUUUAGGUGUAAGCAAAACAAUCUAAACAGUAGGAUAAAAUCGUGUUGGAGUGGAGUUCUGUGUGAGCGCUGUCUUUGAACCAAAUCAGUUCCACAACUGACCCUG
rnacentral:lncRNA from 1 species